GUGUGGGCUGCCUGCACUCAACGUUGGGAUCAUUCAAUAGAGUGUAACCUCAAUCGGUUUUUGCAGCUUCUGGGUCCCGUGUAGAACGAUUUUUUUGUUCUUUUCCAACUCGAUUUUUAACUCCCUAAACUAGUAGGAUGUUCCAACGGGUGAAGCAACAGUGCUGACGGCAGUUUCAGUGUCAAGUUUUCAUGCCAUGACCAUUAUGACAUUGCCUUGGACAUCAAACUAAACCAUCUCAUUCUGGCUUUUGAGGUGGAUUCUAACAUCGAAAUCUCAGAAGGACAGGUCUAAGAUGGACGCAGCCUCCAUAGGAUGCAACCUUGCAUUUGAGAAACACCCAUAGAACGGUCAACUUACCCCAUACUCUAACCUGAAUGCAGGGAUCAUAAAACUUUAUCUUUUACCUUAAUUGUUAGAUGGGUGUUGAUACCAAACUUUUUUUCUCGUCUACCCAGGAGAAAGUCAUGGUGUUCUGCUGCUAAGGUUGUCAUAAACGUCUUUUAUUCUGCUUACCUGACUCAUGCAGAAUUCUGGCUUGAUGUUUGGUCCACCUGUUAGCUGGCUCUGGUGCUUGGUAGUCUUCUCAAACCUCUGAAUCAAGACCACCAUGAGAGGCCUUCUGAAGACCAUCAUUACGCUUCAGAUCCAGUUGUCUUUACUUUGAGCCUACCACAAUCCCUGUGCACCAGCUAUGGAAAGUGCAGACCAAACUUCUACCUCCACCUAUAGAACUGAACUGGAGUCUAUGAACUAAUGCUGUGUUCGAGACAACUUGGAUGUUGGAUAUUAUUGACCUUAAACCCGUAAGAAGUCAGGAACAGGAAACAAAGUGGAGUAUCCGACCUCUCAACUUGGACCAGAUCGAUCAACACCGACCUCAACGAGAUGCGUCAUUUGACAUUGCAGACAAGAUCCUUUCUCUUUUUAAUGCAGCACUUAAGGAUGAACCACCCUGAUCUACUAAGAUGCACAGAUUCAACUCUGGCCCAGCAUCAUCCCCACACCUCAUCUGCCAUCAGUUUAAUUUAAUGUCUGUCAAUUGCAAAUGGUAUUUAUUUCAGUUAUAUUACAACUUAAUAUUAAAGGAAUAGUCUACCCUUUUGCCAUAUUAAACUAUGUUAUUACCUCAACCUAGAUGAAUUAAUACAUACCUAUCUUUUUUCAAUGCGUGCACCGUACAGCGCGUUGUGAAUGUGUUAGCAUUUAGCCUAGCCCCAUUCAUUCCUAUGGUACCAAAAAAGUUUUAUUUUGUGGCACCAUACUUACUGGUAUAACUCCUCAUGUAACAGUCUUAAAAUAGGGAAAACACGAAAGUGUUUGGUGGCUUCCCUGUUUGGUACCAUAGGAAUGAAUGGGGCUAGGCUAAAUGCUAACACAUUCACGACACGCUGUACAGU